GCUCAGGAUGAACGCUGGCGGCGUGCUUAACACAUGCAAGUCGAACGAUGAUCCGGUGCUUGCACCGGGGAUUAGUGGCGAACGGGUGAGUAACACGUGAGUAACCUGCCCUUAACUCUGGGAUAAGCCUGGGAAACUGGGUCUAAUACCGGAUAUGACUCCUCAUCGCAUGGUGGGGGGUGGAAAGCUUUAUUGUGGUUUUGGAUGGACUCGCGGCCUAUCAGCUUGUUGGUGAGGUAAUGGCUCACCAAGGCGACGACGGGUAGCCGGCCUGAGAGGGUGACCGGCCACACUGGGACUGAGACACGGCCCAGACUCCUACGGGAGGCAGCAGUGGGGAAUAUUGCACAAUGGGCGCAAGCCUGAUGCAGCGACGCCGCGUGAGGGAUGACGGCCUUCGGGUUGUAAACCUCUUCAGUAGGGAAGAAGGAAA
rnacentral:rRNA from 1 species